GGUUAUGUAUUAAUCUCUUUUAUAUUUAAAAGGGAUUUACUUAUCAAAUGUUUCCAAGACAUUUGAUGGUGUCUCUUUAAUGUGUUCGAAUACUUUGAUGAGACCUUGAUUCCAUGGCUUGAGCUAUCUUCUCAUUACGUCGUAGUACUCUACUAACGACCUUAUGGUUGGGAUUCAAUCAUGGGUUCUAAAAGAACCCCUUUCAUUCAAAACACCUUUUGAAGCAGUUUCUAAAACUUAUAUAUCUACAUAUAUUUCGUUUGUAUACUUUAUACAAAUUUUGCUCCAAGCUUGAGACCAUUGUAGUACAAUACUAACAAUUCAUUCAUAUGAUUAGUACUUCAUCCAUCAUGAAGUUCCAUUUGUUAAAAUGACUUAUUUUUACUUUGGUUAACAACCUAAGUGAAUGCACGCUUCCAGAGUCCCACUCUGAUGUUUCUUUCUUAAAGGCAAUAAUACUCUAUCAGUUGCUUUGGUUCUGAUCCUGGGAUAUAGUAAUAUCAUAAAGUGAUAAACUCAGUGGUUUCUUCACCUUUGGAUAUCUACUUCACAAGUCAACAUAUGUGUCCCUUUUGUGAUUUUAUGACACAUUCAUUAUAAGGGUUAUGAAAGUGAUUUCCUAUCACAUAGGAAAAUGCUUUCUUAAAUCUUCAACAUUUGAGAUUUAAUUCCCAUAUAACAUUAUUGAGAUAGCCUUGCUAUAUCAGUAAGUCCAAUUUCAAGUCUAUACUUCAAAAGUGACCGUGUCAUGUUUUGUCAUUUUUCGAGUAACUUCUAUGUUUCAUCAAGUCUAUCAAAUAGCCUUUAUUCACAUCUUGUUGCUCAAAUUAUGACAUCACUCCCACUGGUCUUGUUGUAACUUAGCAUUCAUUCAAAAAUAACACUUAUAUUCUCUUGAUUUGAAUGCAUGUUGCUCCCACUAACUUGUCUUGGAUUUAUUGACAAUCAUUAGAAUCCAUUAGCUUAUAGAUGAUGUCUCAACAAUUUUGAGACUAUCAUCAAUGCUAGCUAACACAAGUUAUUUAAACGAACAUACACAAAAGAAUUUCUUCUAAAGUAACCUUUUUGAAAUGUGUGACUUGCUUUAUCAAGUCUAUUCAUUUAAAUUAUAUGGUGUCGUACACCAUACUUUAAGUUUUAGUCAUACUAAGACCUUUUAAUGUAGUCAUAUAAGAAUUAUCCAAGUCUUUAGUGAAGCAUGGCUCCUACUAAGGAUAUGGAAACUCAACCAUUCCUUCUAGGUGGUUGAUAUAAUUCUUUAUCAAAACUACAUAAGGCAAUAUAGUUACAUGAGAUGUUGUAUUUGGAUUGUCUUGUUGUUAAACCAUAUGUUGUGACUCAUUUUGAAACUAAUUCCCUUUUGUUUCAUCAACUUGUCCAUAUGCUUUGUUAUUAGCAUGUUCUCAUAAAAGAGAAUGAUGGACAACUCCCAACAUAUAACCAAUUUUGCUAGGUUGACGAAACCAACAUUCAAAGACUAUUCUUUAAAUGUUACAGAACAUAGAAUUUUAACGUUUAAAGAGCUUUAGACAACUAUAAACCAAUCACAUUCAAGUUUAUAUCCAUUUUCACACCUCCC
rnacentral:lncRNA from 1 species